AUUGAACGCUGGCGGCAGGCCUAACACAUGCAAGUCGAGCGGAUGAAGGGAGCUUGCUCCUGGAUUCAGCGGCGGACGGGUGAGUAAUGCCUAGGAAUCUGCCUGGUAGUGGGGGAUAACGUCCGGAAACGGGCGCUAAUACCGCAUACGUCCUGAGGGAGAAAGUGGGGGAUCUUCGGACCUCACGCUAUCAGAUGAGCCUAGGUCGGAUUAGCUAGUUGGUGGGGUAAAGGCCUACCAAGGCGACGAUCCGUAACUGGUCUGAGAGGAUGAUCAGUCACAUGGGAGAAGAGACACGGCCCAGCCACCUACGGGAGCAACCAGGGGGGAAUUUUGGACAAUGGGGGAAAACCUGAUCCAGCCAUGCCGGGUGUGUAAAGAGGUUCUUGGAAUUGUAAGGAAUUUUAGGUUGGGAGGAAGGGAAGUAAUUAAAUACCUCGCUUUUUUGACGUUACCAACAAAAAAAGCACCGGCUAACUCCGUG
rnacentral:rRNA from 1 species